rnacentral:rRNA from 1 species
GUGGGGAAUAUUGCGCAAUGGGGGAAACCCUGACGCAGCGACGCCGCGUGAGUGAUGAAGGCCUUCGGGUCGUAAAGCUCUGUUGCAGGGGAAUAAAAAAAUGAAGGUACCCUGUGAGGAAGGAUCGGCUAACUUCGUGCCAGCAGCCGCGGUAAGACGAGGGAUCCUAGCGUUGCUCGGAAUCAUUGGGCGUAAAGAGGGCGUAGGUGGCUUGGUAAGUCAGGUGUGAAAGCCCAGGGCUCAACCCUGGAAGUGCAUUUGAUACUGCUGAGCUUGAGUGUCGGAGAGGUUACCGGAAUACCUGGUGUAGUGAUGAAAUACGUAGAUAUCAGGUGGAACACCGGAGGCGAAGGCGGGUAACUGGACGAACACUGACACUGAGGCCCGAAAGCGUGGGGAUCAAACAGGAUUAGAUACCCUGGUAGUCC